UUUUUUUUGUUUUGGUUGUGCAGGUUCUAUGCAAACGAUUAUUUGUAUUGUUCAGUUGCUGCUUUUCUUGGUCUGUAUUGAGAUUGGUCAUUGUCUAGAUAUCAGUAACAGUGUGCAAUCGGAAUUUGAAAGUGCUUUGAACUUGGAUCAUAAAGGAUUGUGGAUGUGGCUGCUGCUGGUGCGGGCAACGCAAGUAGGGAUCCAAAUUUGAUCCCACCACCUCCUCCAACCAUUCCAC